UUGACUGAGUGGCGGACGGGUGAGUAACGCGUGGAUAACCUGCCUCACACUGGGGGAUAACAGUUAGAAAUGGCUGCUAAUACCGCAUAAGCGCACAGUACCGCAUGGUACGGUGUGAAAAACCCAGGUGGUGUGAGAUGGAUCCGCGUCUGAUUAGCCAGUUGGCGGGGUAACGGCCCACCAAAGCGACGAUCAGUAGCCGACCUGAGAGGGUGACCGGCCACAUUGGGACUGAGACACGGCCCAAACUCCUACGGGAGGCAGCAGUGGGGAAUAUUGCACAAUGGGGGAAACCCUGAUGCAGCGACGCCGCGUGAGUGAAGAAGUAUUUCGGUAUGUAAAGCUCUAUCAGCAGGGAAGAAUUAGGACGGUACCUGACUAAGAAGCACCGGCUAAAUACGUGCCAGCAGCCGCGGUAAUACGUAUGGUGCAAGCGUUAUCCGGAUUUACUGGGUGUAAAGGGAGCGUAGACGGAGAGGCAAGUCUGAUGUGAAAACCCGGGGCUCAACCCCGGGACUGCAUUGGAAACUGUUUUUCUAGAGUGUCGGAGAGGUAAGUGGAAUUCCUAGUGUAGCGGUGAAAUGCGUAGAUAUUAGGAGGACACCAGUGGCGAAGGCGGCUUACUGGACGAUGACUGACGUU
rnacentral:rRNA from 1 species